AGAACAUAAGAAUCUUACUAUUGGAUUUGAACAAUUUUUCACAUCAAUACCUCCACACGUAAUCAAAAUAUGGCACUUAAACAAAAAAAAUUACAAGAAGAUAGCUGGAAGAAGUCGCCAAAUGUGGUUUUUCUACACCCACCCUUGAUGCACCCACGCAAGAAAAUAUACCAAAACAUUUUGAAAAAAAAUCUGAAACUUUGUGGAAAUUCAUCAACAAAUGUUAGAGGUUUGCAAAUUUUGGUGGUCAAAUGACAUCCGAGGAGCUCUAUACGAAAAACACAAAAUUAGUCAAAAAUAGUCAACAUGUAUGUGCACUGUUUGACCAAAAAUUGUAAUUUUUUGUACAGUUCUCCUCGGAUGUCAUUUGACCAUCAAACUUGGCAAGCCUCUCUAACAUUUGUUGAUGAUCAUUUUCAUAAAGUUUUAGAUUGUUUCGAAAUGUUUUGGUAUGUCUUCUUGCAUGGAUGCACCGUGGGUGCACCGAGGUGGGGCUCAACCACUACUUUCCCCAAGUGGAUAUCAUUUUUCAGGAAUCCGAACAGAUAAGGCAUUUUGUUACUUAAUUUUGAUUUCAUCCUAACCUGAUUCAUCUGAAACCCCCCUCAAGUAUCUUCAUGCCAACUCAUAAGAAUCUCACAUGUGAGAUACGAUCUUCGGUCUUCAUCACCGACCAUCAAUUUGCCGCACAUAUUCUUCAGCGUGUUAGUCUACAAGAUGAGCACCUCGGUGACUUCCUUGCUGCCUUUGGGAGAUCACCUCUCUGCGGAGAAGUCGUGCUCUCCUGCCCCUGCUUACCGCAGAUGGAACAUAACCUCGACCUCUUAAUCGGUUGCUUGCAUGGAGGCUUGUCACGUUGUCACGAUUGCUAGUAGGCCUACCAGGUGGUCUCUUCCUGCUUGGAUCACUUGACUUCCUCCUCUCACCGGUCCGCCUCCGAUGGACAUGCAGCCUGCUUUUUGCAGAGCAAACACCAAAACCAGACCCCCAUGAGUUAAUACUUUAACAAGGAUACCAUGUAUUAAUCAUUUUUUAAUACUUUUUAAUACUUUAGUUGAAUAUAUAAAAUUGGUGUUGUUUUUUGCGGGAGUUGAAUAAUUGGUGUCAAGAAUCCCAUUUGUUUUCUGAUACUGGGUUUAGUUAGUGCGUGGCUGAUGAUGUGCUGAUGCUAGCUGCACUGUAUCAUUAUUGUUUCCUAGAUGCUGCACUCUACCAUUGAUCAGUGUGCAUCUGGUUAAUGAUUUUCCUCUGAUUGAGGGAAAAACUAUAGCAAGUGGCUGACGCUCUCCGUAAUUAAGGCUCGCUGCAGAGUUAGUAGCAUGUAUCAGUAGAUUUGUGCAUGUUAUUUAUUAGAUAUUCAGAUACAGCGUGGAUUGAAGAACAUAAGAAUUUUACUGUUGGAUUUGAACAAUUUUUCGCAUCAAUACCCACAUGUAGUCAAAAUGUGGCACUUAAACAAAAAAAAUUACAAGAAGAUAGCUGGAAGAAGUCGCAACGUGCGCACUGCAUCAAUGAAAAAACAACCAUUCAACCAAUUUGGAUCUCUUACUAAAUGAUUGGGUUAAAUACAUUGAAGGUGCCUCAACUUUAGUACCCAAAGGCCAAAGUUGUAAAAUACACGAAACUAUGAAACUAGUGCCCGCGUGGUGUGCCAGCAUGGCAGUGCCCCACCUGUCCGUGGCUAAGAGCAGGGAAGGCACUGGGUGGCCCGAGCGUGAGGAAUUUUUUGUACAAAACCCCCUCAUAUUUUAUUUAAUCAAGCAGGAAAACCUCACAAAUUAGAAAGAAAAAAAAAUGCAUGAUAGAUGAUCGAACCUGAGCCCUAUCACGGAUUGCAUUCUACGCAAAGGUUGUCCAACGUGCCAUACACGGCAGUGGCGGAGCUACAGGGUGUCCAGGGUGGGCCGCGGCCCACCCUGGGAUUUUGGAGCAACCAUACCUAUGGGUCUUUAACUGGGCCAGACAAAAAAGAUGGCCCAAUAACACUUACCUGUUGACUCGGGGAUCAACGCAGCCACAGCCCGCAACCGUGCCCUCGUUCCACAUCGAGCCAGGGGACAGCCGCCUCGUCCUGACGCCCUCCCAGAGCCGUGCCUUACGACGGCUCGCCGUCCUCGCCGGUCGCCGAUUAGCCCGCCGGAGCCCAGCCCCCGAUGAGGAUCCUCUCCUUCCCGCCUCCCUGCGAGCUGCGUGUGUCCCUGUCCUGCGCGGCUGCGCCCCUGCCCCCGGCCUUCUGACUCCCCUGCAAGUGUAAGUGCAGAUCUUGCUCCCCCCCUGUUUGUGUUGUUCGACGAGGGGAUGAAUUAAAAUUGCCCUCUGUUAUCAGGAGUGUGAGGAACUUGGUGGUCUUCUUGGCUGAGCAGUCAAGGCAAUUGAAGCACCUCCAGUGGCUGGGCUUCCAGAACUCGGUAUGACACUUGCACUUAAAGUUUAUUUCUUAGAUCGGUGUUAUUCAGGUUCUGUUUUCAUAUAUUUUUAACAGUGCAAUGUAUUCCCUUGUGGGCUUACCAGCUUACCAAUUUUGAUUCCCCAAUUUCUGACUUAGGUUUUUUUUUGGCCGUGCUAUGCUAUCCUUUAGAUGAACCGAACAGAUGCAUAAUUUUGCACAUCAUUUCUACCUCAAAUAAAUUCUCAAGGUAUGUAAUAUGAUCCAUAUAGUAUGUACUAUGUAGGUUUCUUUAUGCAAAACUUAGAAUUAAUUGAGAAUUUUAGUGUGUAAGACCAUAUUUAUAUAUUUCUAUGUGAUAUUGGUAAUUAUUUAGAAUGUUCACAUGUUAUACUUAUCAAAAAAAAAGGGGGUGGACCACCCUGUUCUCAAACGCUAGCUCCGCCACUGAUACGUGCAGUAUAUAUUGCAGAGGUCAAACUCUAUCUAUUGCAUGGCUAUGCAAAAAGUAACUCUGGAGCACGGGCACAUUGUGUCCUAUUUUUUUUAAGUUCAAAGAAACGGAUUUUUAUAGCUAAAAAAAUCUGAAUUUUUUUAUACAUGCACACAUAGAAGUGUAAUAUAUCCGUGUGAAUUUUCACCAAUAUAUGUGCUUGUAUGAGAGAUAAAACAGAUGAAUACAUGCAAAAAAAAUCAGCUUAUUUUUUUGCCAUAUUUUUUUCCAUUUUUUGAAGGGUAUAAUAUAACAUAAUUUUGAGCGAAAGUUGAAAGUCACUUAGAGCACAUACAUAUGUUUUUGUGUGAAAACAAUCAACUCAUUUUGAAACUUUUAAGUGCUAGUUUUUAGCCUUAAAAACAUGCUCAAUGGCCGCCGUGCUCCAGAAAUACGUUUUGGCUGCUAUGUACCUCUUCAAGCGAUUUUUUUUUAUAUAUGGCGCCUCUAUGGACCUGCACAAGUUUUACUUUCAUUUUUUCAAUCUUGUUAUUAUUAUUUCUCAUAUUAUUUUUACCGUUGAAAAAAUAGAAAUGGAAGAAAAAAUUACAACUUCCAUAAUAAACUUAAAGAAAGUGUUAGUGCAUUUGAAAAAUGUUUAACAUGUUUUUGGAAAAUGUUUCACAUGUAUUGAAAAAUUAUAACCUGUAUUUCAAAAAUGUUUGUCUUGAAUUAAAAAAUUGGCAAUGUGUAUGUAGAAAAGUUCAAUGUGUACUAAGAAUUUAUUAUGUAACAUUUUGAAUAAUUGUAUUAAAAAUGUCAACACAAUACUUUUUAAUGCAUGUUGAAUAGGUUACAAAAUACAAUGUUGUCAAUUUGUUAAUAAUUAGGUAUUUUAGAAAUACAAUGAAGAUUAACAAUAGUAGUGUGUGCUUGUGGUCCAGAAGUGAACAUACAUAAAUUUACACAAUAAUUUCUAAUAUAGGUUGAAUUAUUUUAAUCCCCAUAAUUUUUUUCAAAAGUUCAUGUCUACCUCUUAAAAGUACGCAAUAAUUAAAAUAGAAAAAAAUCUUAAAGUAAAAAAUAGUUGCAUAUUGUAUUUUUAUAUGGGAAAAUUUACGUCGCAUGAAAAUUAACAGGAACUUGAAGAAAAAAAAGAUAGAUAACACAUUAAGAAAAUUACAGAACGAUACAUGAAAAGUGUUUACAUAGCUUUCUAGCUAAGAGAUGAACCCGAUGCAUAUUUUGGUCGAGUGGACAGAUUAAGCCGUAGUUGACCAGGAGGUGCCAGGUUUUAAACCCCUCCAUGAUGAUUUUUUUCAUGUUAUUUCUCAUACUUGAGGUCUUUUCUAUGUGAUUAAAUAAAUAUAAGGGGGUUUCUUAAAAAAGGUCCUCGCGCCUGGAGUACUCGGCACUUUCCCGCUCUCAACCACUUACAAAUGGGUCACCGCCAAGCUGGCACGCCACGCGGGCUGGACAUGUUCGGAUACGGAAGGAGGCGCCGUAUUUGCAUGACCGGACAAGUUCGAGCAUCAAUUUCAUGUAUUUUACAACUUUAGACACCAAACUGACCGCGCACAGGAUAAGUUGAGGCAUCUCCAGUGUAUUUAACUCUAAAUGAUUCUAACCUGGCUCACUAUAAGCCGAUAUCGUUUUUCAGUAAUCCCGACAGAUAAGGCAUUUUGUUACUUAAAUUUCAUUUCAUCCUAACCUGACUCAACGGAAACUCCCUCAACUAUCUUCAUGCCAACUCAUAAGAAUCUCACAUGUGUCAUAACCAUUUUCGGUCUUCAUAACCAACCAUCAAUUUGCCGCAAGUAUUCUUCAUGUCGCAUGUUAGUCCACAAGAUGAGUACCUCGGGUGGCCUCCUUGCUGCCUUUGGGAGAUCACCCCUCUGCGUAGAAGUUUUGCUCUCGUGACCCUACUUACUGUAGAUGAAACAUAACCUCGACCUCUUAAUCGGUUGCUUGCAUGCAGUGGCGGAGCCAGGAUUGGCUGACGCCCCGGGCGAGAAACUAAGGGCUAAAAACUACCCUAAAAAAAUUCCAGUUUCAAGGCAUACGAAAGUGAAUCUAUAUUGCACAACUGAUAAUACACCAAACAUAAUAUUCAACGGCAAUAUUUGUUCCAUGAUGGGUUAACUAAUAAAGCAAGAAAAAUCAAAAGAAAUAUGUAGCGUAUAUAAAUGAUACAAAAGAUUGAUACAAAAUCAAUGGAUUGGCUGAUCUGAGCCUCCCAUGCCUAUAUCUUCAAUAGCAGAAGAUGCUAAACCUUGAAUAUAAUUUUUGAAAUGCAAAUCAAUGCAUAAUAUAGCAGGUAAAAGGAGUUAAUGAUAGAUGCAAAAUUUGAGAACUUACGUCUAGGACAAGGCAAAAGGCAUCUGCGAUUGCGAUAACCUUAAAAUCGCUUAAUGAACUUGAAAAAAUGAAUUGAAUGUCUUGUUUCGGUUACUCAUCUUGCCUUCCUGUAAGAUCUUAUAGAAACAAAAUUACUAAAUGUCUAAAUAGGUUUCCACAUCUAACAAUCAGUGGCAUCUAGCAGUGAAAAUCAUCAUUCAGUGACAUCUACUAAAAAACAAAACAAAGGCAUCAAGGCAUCAAGGCAUUAAGCAAUACCUCUCUGCUCUGCUCAGUAUUGCGGCUCAGCUCCUGGCAAACCAGCACCUCGCCGGACGCCAGGAAGAAGGGAUCGAGCACCUCGCGGAGGCCAAGCCUCGCCGGAGUCGCCGCCACCGCGCCUCGCCGGACGCCAGGAAGAAGGGAUCGAGCACCUCGCGGACGCCAAGCCUCGCCGGAGUCGCCGCCUCCACGCCUCGCCGGACGGAGCAGCAGCGCGCAGCGCGGCAGUGGCGCAACCUGACGCCCGCAUGACCGCAGAAGGGAUCGAAGGGGCGGGCAACGGACCGGGAGGGCAGGGACGGCUGGUCCUGGUCGCCUAGGGUUUG
rnacentral:lncRNA from 1 species